rnacentral:rRNA from 1 species
UACGGAGGGGGCUAGCGUUGUUCGGAAUUACUGGGCGUAAGGCGCACGUAGGCGGCUUUGUAAGUUAGAGGUGAAAGCCCGGGGCUCAACCCCGGAAUUGCCUUUAAGACUGCAUCGCUAGAAUUGUGGAGAGGUAAGUGGAAUUCCGAGUGUAGAGGUGAAAUUCGUAGAUAUUCGGAAGAACACCAGUGGCGAAGGCGACUUACUGGACACAUAUUGACGCUGAGGUGCGAAAGCGUGGGGAGCAAACAGG